rnacentral:misc_RNA from 1 species
AAGUCGUAACAAGGUUUCCGUAGGUGAACCUGCGGAAGGAUCAUUAACACGUAUCCACGUAUCAACCCCUAGUGUCACGAGUGCGCGCAAGCGUGCUCAGUUUUCUCUUUGUUUUUCCACAAUGAAUUUUAACCACUUGAACCCAUCAGACUAAAACUAUUUCGUGCUUUUUUUGCGCAAGCGAAAGAAACCGAAACAAUAAAAUAACAAGAAACAACUCUUAGCGACGGAUUUCUUGGCUCCC